rnacentral:lncRNA from 1 species
AACAGUGUGAUUUAAAACAUGAACUCUGCAAACUAAUAGGAAAUACACUUUUAAGCCAUGGCAAAGUCCCAGGAGGAAAAUGGCUAAAAUGCAUUCACAAGUUGGGUUCCCAUGACAGAAUGUACUUAAUGAGAUGUCAGAAAAUAACAAGAAAACAGGGCUUCCCAACAGGAGCCUGAACACCACAGUCACUGGGCAGCUGUUCUGCAUCCCUCGUGUUGAUUUACUUCUGAUGCUUGAUGCUUCUCCAGUAAGGAACACGAUACAGCCCGAGGGUGUGUAUUUACUUUAUAAAAUUCGUAUACUUCAUAAAGUAUUUAUAAAUUCUUUACUUUAUAAAGCCUCACAUAUGUCUGUCUCUCUGUGCCAGCGUCUGUCUGCAACACUUACUUGUUCCUGUCACAUCCACUGACAAGAGAUGGAGUCAUGUCGUUUCCAGUCCUACUAUGUGUAGAGCCUGGUCCCUGAGAGCCCCCAACAAAUGAGGCUCCCCUACCUUUCCUUGGCAGGCCCACUGAACAUCCUAGGAAUUAGUAGAAGGCAGAAGAAAGAAAUGUAUUCAAUGUGGUUGGGAAGAGGAACAAGGAGGUUCAAUAACUCCUCGAGUCCGUUUGUGGGGUCCUGGCAUGAUGUUCAUGCUCGCUGGAGACUGAGGUAUGCAUAAGUAAUCGGGGCUGGCGGAGCUGUGGCCCCACCGGUGUCACUGACUCCUGUGUCUCAUCUACAAGGUGAUCCAAAAAGUUGUCAGGAUGGUGUGAAAUCUCUUUCCCAGAGACAAGCUCUUCCUCUGCCCGGCAGCAGGCUUUGCUCAUUUCCUCCUCCCAGCGUGAGAUUCCUGCAGGAAUUGUAAUUUCUUAGAGACUAGAAGUUUGAUAGCCAAAGGGAGCGCCACAAAUGUCUCUGUAACAUCUUCAUUCCAAUCAUUGAAAAUGAGGGAGCAUUGGUGGCAUGAAGAAGAGUGCCUUGGGUGUGAUGCACCCAGCAGCUCCUUACCCCUACCAGGGCGCUGAGUGUAACUUACAGCAUACACCGCCAUAAACCAACUUCCACAAGAUAUUCCUUAGAUACAGCUAAGAAUGAAACAAUGGGCGAGGGAAAAUUCCAUGGGCGGUGGAGAUGGCUCAGCAGUGAGGAGUGCUCACUGCUCUUGCAGAAGACUGGGCUUGGUUCCCAGCACUCACACAGCGGUGCACAGCUGCCUGUAACUCCAGUUCGAUGAGAUCGGGCUUCUUCUGACUUCCAAGGGAUCCUGAACGCAUGGGGCCCAUGCAUACGAUGCACAUUAAUAACAACAACAACAACAAUAAUAAUACAUUUUUAAGAGCAACUUCACACUUGAGAGUGAAGUGUCACACUGCCCUUGGGGGUUAAGUGAAGGCAGUCACCCAAAAUGAGUUCCUCCUUCCAUGUCACACCUGGUGUGGGCGUGAGGCCCAGAAACUGGAAAGUCAGGAAGGGAAGGGUUCUCCUAAGAGCGUUGUUCCUCUGCCAUGGACCCUGUCACAUUCUGUCACGGGCUUCCAGGAGCCUGACAUUCAAUUUUAAGAAUUACAGAGGACUGGGCACACCGUUGCUGACAUCCCACUAUUUCGAGACUAGCAGCAAGCAAAGGACUUUUCAUUUCCUGAAAGUGACAGGAAAUUGAGGAACCUGCCUGAGAUAUCAUCUUUGUGUGGGCAAAAGAGGUUGAUGAAGUCAGAUGGCCAGACAGUCCCGAGAGGGGAGAAAACAAAACAAAACGAAAUAAAAGGCAACCAACCAAACAAGCAAACAAUAAACCCAAGCUGUUGCAGGCUCCCAGUCUAUCAUCAAGUCCCACUCUCUCACUCUCACUGUUAUUUCUGCCCAUAGCUCUUCCUUCUCCAAAGAGAAAGAAGCCCUGGGGAAGCAUGAUGGGUGUCUGACCCCGGUCCUGGCUGUACAGUGGUUUGAUAGAACAGCUAUUUUACAGGUGAACAACAAAAGAUGCCGAAAGCAAAGAUCAGACGCAAGGGAGAGAAAUGGGGAGAGGAGGGACCAGUAGUGCAAGCUAUUUCUAGUGACAAAGGACUUGUUUUCAUAUAAUAGACUUCUAGACGGGGAGGCUCAGGGGAAGCUGGUUGUUUCAUACACAUAGUAAGGCCCUUUAACUACAAAGGCCAGAAUGG